rnacentral:rRNA from 1 species
GGUAGCAGGGUAGCAAUACCGCUGACGACCGGCGCACGGGUGAGUAACACGUAUCCAACCUACCAUCUCUCACGGGGAUAGCCUUUCGAAAGAAAGAUUAAUACCCGAUAGUAUAGCGAUAAGGCAUCUUAUUGCUAUUAAAGAAUUUCGGUGUUUGAUGGGGAUGCGUUCCAUUAGAUUGUUGGUGAGGUAACGGCUCACCAAGUCUUCGAUGGAUAGGGGUUCUGAGAGGAAGGUCCCCCACAUUGGAACUGAGACACGGUCCAAACUCCUACGGGAGGCAGCAGUGAGGAAUAUUGGUCAAUGGACGAGAGUCUGAACCAGCCAAGUAGCGUGAAGGAUGAAGGCCCUAUGGGUCGUAAACUUCUUUUAUAGGGGAAUAAAGUGCGGAACGUGUUCCGCUUUGUAUGUACCCUACGAAUAAGGAUCGGCUAACUCCGUGCCAGCAGCCGCGGUAAUACGGAGGAUCCGAGCGUUAUCCGGAUUUAUUGGGUUUAAAGGGAGCGUAGGUGGACGUAUAAGUCAGUUGUGAAAGUUUGCGGCUCAACCGUAAAAUUGCAGUUGAUACUGUAUGUCUUGAGUGUACAAGAGGUGGGCGGAAUUCGUGGUGUAGCGGUGAAAUGCUUAGAUAUCACGAAGAACUCCGAUUG